GUAUCAGUGGGUAUUAAAGUGUAUCAGUGGGUAUUAAAGUGUAUCGGAGGGUAUUAAAGUGUAUCAGUGGAUAUUAAAGUGUAUGUGUUUAUGACUGUGUAAUAAAUUGUACUGGUGUGUGUUGUAGAAAGGCAGGGUGUAGGUCUGUGGGAGAACUCGUAUCUGUAAUGGUGUGGGUGGUGUAGGUCUGUGGGAGAACUCGUAUCUGUAAUGGUGUGGGUGGUGUAGGUCUGUGGGAGAACUCGUAUCUGUAAUGGUGUGGGUGGUGUAGGUCUGUGGGAGAACUCGUAUCUGUAAUAGUGUGGGUGGUGUAGGUCUGUGGGAGAACUCGUAUCUGUAAUGGUGUGGGUGGUGUAGGUCUGUGGGAGAACUCCUAUCUGUAAUGGUGUGGGUGGCCAAUUCUUCUCCAGCUGUUAUCACAGGAGAACAAUGCAAUGAUGAUGUUCCACUCUACAGGUAAUUGGUUCUAACCCCCUCUCUGUUCCACUCUACAGGUAAUUGGUUCUAACCCCCUCUCUUUUCCACUCUAUAGGCCAUUGGUUCUAACCCCCUCUCUGUUCCACUCUAUAGGUCAUUGGUUCUAACCCCCUCUCUGUUCCACUCUAUAGGUCAUUGGUUCUAACCCCCUCUCUGUUCCACUCUAUAGGUCAUUGGUUCUAACCCCCUCUCUGUUCCACUCUAUAGGUCAUUGGUUCUAACCCCCUCUCUGUUCCACUCUAUAGGCCAUUGGUUCUAACCCCCUCUCUGUUCCACUCUAUAGGGAAUUGGUUCUAACCCCCUCUUUGUUCUACCCUAUAGGUAAUUGGUUCUAACCCCAUCUGUUUCCACCCCCGGGUCUCUGCUGUCAGUCAGCUUCUUAUAAUCCCUUCUCUGUUCCACUCUAUAGGUCAUUGGUUCUAACCCCCUCUCUGUUCCAUAAUAUAGGCCAGUGGUUCCACCCUUCUGAUAUUUCCCUGUUGUCUGAAUGGCCCCUUCCUCUCCCCUCCUUCCUCUGCUGGUGUAAAGGAGCUCCAUGGUCAGGUUGUUAAAGGUCUA